GCCGGGUGCAGUGGUGCGUGCCUGUAGUCCAAGCUACUCGGGAGGCUGAGGUGGGAGGAUCACUUGAGCCCAGGAGUCCCAGGCUGUAGUGCGCUGUGUUGCUUGGGUGUCCACAGUAAGUCUGGCAUCAAUAUGGUGAUCUCCUGGGAGCUGGGAACCACCAGGUUGCCUAAGGAGGGAUGAACCGCCCCAGGUCAGAAAUAGAGCUGGUCAAAAUUCCCGUGCUGAUCAGUAGUGGGACUGCACCUGUGAAUAGCCACUGCACUCCAGCCUGGGCAACAUAGCUAGACCCCAUCUCA
rnacentral:SRP_RNA from 1 species